rnacentral:rRNA from 1 species
GACGAACGCUGGCGGCGUGCUUAACACAUGCAAGUCGAACGGAAAGGCCCUGCUAUUGUGGGGUGCUCGAGUGGCAAACGGGUGUGUAACACGUGAGUAACCUGCCCCUUACUUUGGGAUAACUUCAGGAAAAUGCGGCUACUACCGGCUAGGAGCUCCUGCUACAUGGUGGGGGUUGGAAAGUUUAGGCGGUUGGGGAUGGACUCGGGGGUUAUCAGCUGGUUGGUGGGGUAGUGGCUUACCAAGGCUUUGACGGGUAGCCGGCCUGAGCGGGGGACCGGCGACAUGGGGACUGAGAUAGGGCCCAGAGGGCAAUGGGAGGCAGCAGGGGGGAGUAUGGCACAAUGGGCGGGAGCCUGAGGCAGCGACGUCGCGUGCGGGAUGACGGCCUUCGGGUUGUAAACAGCUUUUGCCUGAGACGAAGCGUGAGUGACGGUAAUGGAUAAAGAAGCACCGGCUAACUACGUG